AACGCACCUUGCGCUCCUUGGUAUUCCGAGGAGCAUGCCUGUUUGAGUGUCAUUAAAUUCUCAAUCUUUACAACUUUGUGUUGUCCAGAUUGGAUUUGGGGGUUUCAUUGUGCGGAAUUCAAUUCCUCACUCCCCUUAAAUGCAUUAGCUGGAAUGCCUCCGCAUAUCUGACUAUCAGUGUGAUAAUUAUCUAUACUGUAGUUGUUGCAUGAGGGUAUCUGCUUCAUCAAUCGUCGCAAGACAAAUGACCAUCUUGACCUCAAAUCAGGUAGGACUACCCGCUGAACUUAA
rnacentral:misc_RNA from 1 species